rnacentral:snRNA from 1 species
GUGCUCGCUUCAGCAGUACAUAUAUAAAAUUGGACCAAUACAGAGAAGAUCAGCAAGGCCUCUGCGUAAGGAUGACAUGCAAAUUCGUGAAGUGUUCCAUAAUUUU